rnacentral:rRNA from 1 species
CUACGGGUCGCUCCAGUAGGGAAUUUUGCGCAAUGGGGGAAACCCUGACGCAGCUACGCCGCGUGAGUGACGACGCCUUUUGGGGUGUAAAGCUCUGUCGGUGGGGACGAAAAUUGACGGUACCCACAAAGGAAGCAUCGGCUAACUACGUGCCAGCAGCCGCGGUAAGACGUAGGAUGCAAGCGUUGUCCGGGAUUAUUGGGCGUAAAGAGUUCGUAGGCGGCAUGUCAAGUCUGGUGUUAAAGACCGGGGCUCAACUCCGGGGCGGCACUGGAUACUGGCAAGCUAGAGUACGGUAGAGGCAAGGGGAAUUCCCAGUGUAGCGGUGAAAUGCGUAGAUAUUGGGAGGAACACCGGUGGCGUAAGCGCCUUGCUGGGCCGAAACUGACGCUGAGGAACGAAAGCCGGGGGAGCAAAUGGGAUUAGAUACCCGCGUAGUC